AAUUAUUAUUCAUUACCUCACCCUUCUCAACCUAAUUCUCCCCUCUCCUCUUCGCCGACACAACCCACCCCCGUGCCCUAAGCCUUGGCGACACCCUCGGUGGAUGACGCCACAAGGAGCAUACUUCAGCGACCACCCUUCACAGCCGGUGUGUCGUCCUGUGGACUAGGGUUCCCGUCAGUGAUACAAGAAGAGGAAAAGGCAAGUAGAUUCCCUUGUAGGUGAGGAAGAUGUCAUCCCGAAUGUGACAGGGGACACGGAGGCAGAGUAGCUAAGGAGAUGAGGUUGAAUGCAUCAUACACUGUCCAGGGGCUCUCAGUGUUUAUUGUUAUCCUUUUUCUUUAGAUUUGUUAUGUUAGUAUGAGAUGAAGACUACUUGUUGACUUGCAUUGGUAGGAGUUCACAAAUGUCUUUGGGAAAUAUGUUUUCUUAUUAUCUCUUUUACCUUUGAAAUUUUAGACAAAUAUAAGAUGCAAAUAUGUUUCCUUUC